rnacentral:rRNA from 1 species
UUGGAGGGCAAGUCUGGUGCCAGCAGCCGCGGUAAUUCCAGCUCCAAUAGCGUAUAUUAAAGUUGUUGCAGUUAAAAAGCUCGUAGUUGAAUUUCGGGAUCAAUGUUUCGGUCAUGCCGUUGGUAUGUACUGAUAUUAUUGAUUUCUCACCUUCUAAAGAACCGUAAUGCCAUUAAUUUGGUGUCACGGGGAAUUAGGACUGUUACCUUGAAAAAAUUAGAGUGUUUAGAGCAGGCUCACGCUUGAAUACAUUAGCACGGAAUAAUGAAAUAGGACAUCCGAUUCUAUUUUGUUGGUUUCUAGGAUCGAUGUAAUGAUUAAUAGGGAUAGUUGGGGGCAUUAGUAUUCAAUUGUCAGAGGUGAAAUUCUUGGAUUUAUUGAAGACUAACUACUGCGAAAGCAUUUGCCAAGGAUGUUUUCAUUUAUCAAGAACGAAAGUUAGGGGAUCGAAGACGAUCAGAUACCGUCGUAGUCUUAACCAUAAACUAUGCCGACUAGGGAUCGGAUGAUGUUAAUUUUUUAAUGACUCAUUCGGCGCCUUACGGGAAACCAAAGUGUUUGGGUUC